GGCACCUUUGGCUGGGUAGCCUCCCAGGAUAUCCAAUCAAUCAUCCUCCAAUCCGGGAACAACUUCAACAAACGUAACACUCCUCUACUAAAGAGUGAAGCACAAAACGUUCUGAGUAACCUGAAAAGAGACAACAAGGUGAUUUUUUUACACCGUGAAUGUUAGCAGUUAAAGUUAUCUCAUCCUCACUUAUAAUGUUACUCUUUAAUGAUGGAGCACUUGAGGUGGUGAAGUGAGAUGUGAGAUUGGUGGGAUUAUUGUUACUUGCGCGGCAGUGGCAGCACGGUUAAAGGGGAAGGCAGGUUGGCUCAUUUGCAGUUUGAAGAGGCAUGGAGAAUCAUUUAAUGUGGUGUAUCAUGGCUCACCUAAUUUGGAGUUGAGAUAGUCACGUAG